CUCCUCCUUCAUCUCUGUGUCUUCCUCUAGUCCCGUUUUCCCGCCUCUGGUCGUUAUUUACUGUUCAAGCCUCUGCUGCUGCGCUGAAGGCUUUUUUCCUAUUUGCUAAAUUGCCUGAAAGGACAACACGCGUAACAUUCGAAUACCCUUUUCGGAUUUCCACUUAUAUAUAGCUCCGCUACUUGAGUCAUUUAGGAAAAAUUAUACGUUUUCUUGUUUCUUCUCGGAUAGGCUUUUCACCUUGCCAUUUUAUUUUUGGAUUUUGGUUUUUUUAGUUUUUGAAGCUUGUUUUUUUUUUUUUGUGGGGC
rnacentral:lncRNA from 1 species